rnacentral:rRNA from 1 species
AGGAAGCGAGAAGUCGACGCGCCGCAAGGCGUCCGGCCCUCCGCGAGCACCCGCGGGGGUGCGGGUUUCGGACCCGGUCCGUUCCCGCUCCCACCGAGGGGCUGUCCGCGCCAGGAGGUGUCCUCGGACGGCGUCGAGCAUUCUCUCCGGUCCGCGACGCUACGGCUUGGAUGGUCCACCCGACCCGUCUUGAAACACGGACCAAGGAGUCUAACAUGCGCGCGAGUCGUUGGGUCGGACACGCUCCGCUAAACCCAUAGGCGCAAUGAAAGUGAAGGCCGCCGUCGGGCGGCCGAGGGAGGACGGGUUCGCUCACGGGCCCCUCGCGGGCCCGUCGGACCCCGCACCCCCGGGGCGUCUGAUCCCUCAUCGCGAGGGGAGGCGCACCCAGAGCGCACACGUUGGGACCCGAAAGAUGGUGAACUAUGCCUGGCCAGGACGAAGUCAGGGGAAACCCUGAUGGAGGUCCGUAGCGAUUCUGACGUGCAAAUCGAUCGUCGGAGCUGGGUAUAGGGGCGAAAGACUAAUCGAACCAUCUAGUAGCUGGUUCCCUCCGAAGUUUCCCUCAGGAUAGCUUGCGCUCGGAGGAGAGUCUCAUCCGGUAAAGCGAAUGAUUAGAGGCCUUGGGGCCGAAACGGCUUCAACCUAUUCUCAAACUUUAAAUGGGUGAGAACUCCGGCUUGCUCGACCAAUCGAAGCCGGAGACGGGGAUCCGUCCCCCGGGAUCGGAGUGCAUAGUGGGCCACUUUUGGUAAGCAGAACUGGCGCUGUGGGAUGAACCAAACGACGGGUUAAGGCGCCCGAAUCGACGCUCAUGGGAAACCAUGAAAGGUGUUGGUUGCUUAAGACAGCAGGACGGUGGCCAUGGAAGUCGGAAUCCGCUAAGGAGUGUGUAAUAACUCACCUGCCGAAGCAACUAGCCCUGAAAAUGGAUGGCGCUGAAGCGUCGUGCCUAUACCCGGCCGUCGCCGCAGGGCGGACCCGCCCGCGGGUGCCGUUCGACGCGGCGACGAGUAGGAGGGUCGCGGCGGCGCGCGCAGAAGGGUCUGGGCUCGAGCCUGCCUGGAGCCGCCGCCGGUGCAGAUCUUGGUGGUAGUAGCAAAUACUCCAGCGAGGCCCUGGAGGACUGAUGUGGAGAAGGGUUUCGUGUGAACAGCCGUUGCACACGAGUCAGUCGAUCCUAAGCCCUAGGAGAAAUCCGACGCCAACGGCGACGGGAAAAAUUUGAAACGAGAAAACGACCCGUCGAUCGGGCGAAAGGGAAUCCGGUUCCUAUUCCGGAACCCGGCAGCGGAACCGCUGUUCGUCGGGCCCUCACAAGGGGUUCGUCAGGGUAACCUAAAAGGGCCCGGAGACGCCGUCGGGAGCCCCGGAAAGAGUUUUCUUUUCUGCAUGAGCGUUCGAGUUCCCUG